AGAAACUUAAGUUAUGUAAACUAGGAGCCUUCAAAGCCCCCAAAAAAGUACCGCUUUAGUUUCUG
rnacentral:tRNA from 1 species